UGUGUGUGUUUGUGUGUGUGUGUGUGUACAUACACACGCACACACAUAUACACAUACAUUAUGUACACACACACACACACACACACAUAUA
rnacentral:miRNA from 1 species